CUCCUGGGGGUCAUCCAGAGCUGCCAGGCAGCUGAGCUCCGAACACUGAAGUGCUCCAAGCAGGAGACGGCCAAAGCCAUUCUGGACAUCUUGCGGCCCUUGGAGCACUCCAGGGUUCGGAGCCCCCUGACCCUGGCCCUUGCCUUGGAGGCCCUCCUCCAGCUAAGUACUAUGCACCCCAAAUUCAGCAGCGAUGUGCUCAGUUUGAUCCUCCAUAGGAC